rnacentral:rRNA from 1 species
GACGAACGCUGGCGGCGUGCUUAACACAUGCAAGUCGAACGAUGAAGCGGUGCUUGCACCGUGGAUUAGUGGCGAACGGGUGAGUAAUACGUGAGUGACCUACCUUUGACUCUGGGAUAAGCCUGGGAAACUGGGUCUAAUACCGGAUACGACCAAUCUCUGCAUGGGGUGUUGGUGGAAAGCGUUAUGGAGUGGCUUUAGAUGGGCUCACGGCCUAUCAGCUUGUUGGUGAGGUAAUGGCUUACCAAGGCGACGACGGGUAGCCGGCCUGAGAGGGUGACCGGCCACACUGGGACUGAGACACGGCCCAGACUCCUACGGGAGGCAGCAGUGGGGAAUAUUGCACAAUGGGCGCAAGCCUGAUGCAGCGACGCCGCGUGAGGGAUGACGGCCUUCGGGUUGUAAACCUCUGUUAGCAUCGAAGAAGCGAAAGUGACGGUAGGUGCAGAGAAAGCGCCGGCUAACUACGUG